GAUGAACGCUGGCUACAGGCUUAACACAUGCAAGUCGAGGGGAAACGACGGGGAAGCUUGCUUCCCCGGGCGUCGACCGGCGCACGGGUGAGUAACGCGUAUCCAACCUGCCUCUGACUGAGGGAUAACCCGUCGAAAGUCGGCCUAAUACCUCAUGGCAUCGUCUGCGGGCAUCCAACGACGAUUAAAGAUUUCAUCGGUCAGAGAUGGGGAUGCGUCUGAUUAGCUUGUUGGCGGGGUAACGGCCCACCAAGGCGACGAUCAGUAGGGGUUCUGAGAGGAAGGUCCCCCACAUUGGAACUGAGACACGGUCCAAACUCCUACGGGAGGCAGCAGUGAGGAAUAGUGGUCAAUGGGCGAGAGCCUGAACCAGCCAAGUAGCGUGCAGGAUGACGGCCCUAUGGGUUGUAAACUGCUUUUAGGCGGGGAUAAAGUGAGGGACGUGUCCUUCAUUGCAGGUACCGCAUGAAUAAGGACCGGCUAAUUCCGUG
rnacentral:rRNA from 1 species